GACAGAGGGUGCAAACGUUGUUCGGAAUUACUGGGCGUAAAGCGCGUGUAGGCGGCCCGGUAAGUCCGCUGUGAAAGUCCAGGGCUCAACCCUGGGAUGCCGGUGGAUACUGUCGGGCUCGAGUCCGGAAGAGGCGAGUGGAAUUCCUGGUGUAGCGGUGAAAUGCGCAGAUAUCAGGAGGAACACCGAUGGCGAAGGCAGCUCGCUGGGACGUGACUGACGCUGAGACGCGAAAGCGUGGGGAGCAAACAGG
rnacentral:rRNA from 1 species